GAAUCCAAUCCAUCAGCGUAGAGAGUGGUAGGGAGCAUGUUCAGAUGAUAAAAACUGAUUGUUGUGGUCCGUUUUCGGCUCCUCAGCACACCCAUUCCCAGGAGGGCAGUGCAGGCACCAGCUCAAGAUCAGCUAAUGUCUGGAGCACCUUAUUAGCCUGGGCCGAGCACCAUCCCAGCUUGAUCCAAGCUCUCCGAACGGCCUCUGAGAACAGUGGAGCCCUCUUGGUGCGGCACCGCAUGCGAACGAGCAAAGCCCACCAGACUUGGACCUAUGCCCCUGGAGCGUGGCACCGGCGCAGGUCACCCUCCACUGCUGACAGAGCAACCGUAGGCUGAGUUAUCCACCCCUGCAGCGUUUUUGAAUUCAUCCUUUUUUCAUAAUGUGGUGCCGGACAUGAGGGAUGUUGAUAGAAGAGUUACUGGUCUUGAUGCCAAAAGGCGUCCGAGUUGUUGUGCUGGUAGCUGGGAGAGGGAAUGUGUUUGAUUUAUUUUUUUUUAAUUAUAUAUAGAUGUAUUUGAUGAGCUGGGAUUUGGAUUCUGUAGGUGAUGAAGAAACCACAGAGAACUUCUUUGAGGUGGGCUCAUAAACAAUUAACUGCAGCGUAUUUCCUCGCUAGUGAAGGACCCUGGCUUAUGCGCUUUCAUGGAGAAAGAGUCAGCCCUGGAGUUCAUCUUAAGUGCAAAAAACCCCCAGAGCUCAACCACCUUAGAGCCUCUCCUUGUUUGCGAUUUGCUAAGCAAUAUGGAAUUCGAUGGAGAAAUCGGGGAUGGCUGCCCUGAGGGUGACAGAGCUGGAGAUGAAGGGAUCCUUUGCUUUCUUCAAGCUAAUUGUAGUUAGCUCGAUGUCGUGAUAACCAUGUUGUGUCCUUAAACAUGGAGAAACUGCCACUAAUGAUGAGUAUUAUAGACCUGACCUUUGGAAAAGCAAACAGGAGAACAUCACACUCACAUUAGAAACAAUGAUACAAAAUGUCAUUAAUUUUAGUUAUUGGUGCCAAUUUUACUAACAUGCAUUAAGAAAAAUAAUUUAACAUGCACGUGUUUUUAGCAAAAUUAGAGACAGUCUGGUUUAUACUAGUCUAGUACAUUCAGUGAAACAGAAUCCUUCUUUCAGGGAUUUAAUCUCAACUAUCUAUAAAAUCAUACACUAUGUUUUUAUAAUUUUGGAAAAACUAUGUACUAAAAAUUGAGCUUAAUGCUUAGCUACUGUUUUUUUUCUUUUUGACCUCUCAUUACACAUCUAGAUUUCCUUGCCAGGCACCACUUUUAUUACAUAAAUAUUUUAUUAUUAGAAGUACUAAACUUUCAAGUGAGACCAUCUUGUUUCCAGUUUUGAAAAUACAAUUACUUAUCUCAGACAACUCUAGUAGCAGUUACUUGAGAAACGGCAUAUAAUCCUAUCAGACCUAAAGGCAAUAAAGAGGGAUCCUAAUGCACCUUCAAUGUGGUUUCAUUUAAAGAAUUUCUGCAUGUCCUCAGUUUCUAAACUUGAAAGAGAAGCUAAGUAUGCCUCAGUUUCCAUUGGCCAAAACUAUUUUGAAUCCUUCGAAGAAAAGCAUACAUUUGGACACAAGAAGGUGCAGAUGCCAUUUCAUUUUCUUCUUCAAACGUACUCUGG